rnacentral:rRNA from 1 species
AUUGAACGCUGGCGGCAUGCUUUACACAUGCAAGUCGAACGGUAACAGGCCGCAAGGUGCUGACGAGUGGCGAACGGGUGAGUAAUGCAUCGGAACGUGCCCAGUCGUGGGGGAUAACUACUCGAAAGAGUAGCUAAUACCGCAUACGAUCUAUGGAUGAAAGCGGGGGACCGUAAGGCCUCGCGCGAUUGGAGCGGCCGAUGUCAGAUUAGGUAGUUGGUGGGGUAAAGGCUCACCAAGCCAACGAUCUGUAGCUGGUCUGAGAGGACGACCAGCCACACUGGGACUGAGACACGGCCAAGACUCCUACGGGAGGCAGCAGUGGGGAAUUUUGGACAAUGGGCGCAAGACUGAUCCAGCAAUGCCGCGUGCAGGAAGAAGGCCUUCGGGUUGUAAACUGCUUUUGUACGGAACGAAACGGCUCUGGUUAAUACCCGGGGCUAAUGACGGUACCGUAAGAAUAAGCACCGGCUAACUACGUG